UGGUUCAGUUGGUAGAGCAUAGUGUUUGCAACGCCAGGGUUGUGGGUUCGAUUCCCAC
rnacentral:tRNA from 1 species